rnacentral:rRNA from 1 species
GUCUUUUAAUUGAAGACUUGUAUGAAUGAUUUGAUGAAAUAUAAACUGUCUCUUUAUUAAAAAUAGAAUUUAAUUUUUUAGUUAAAAAGCUAAAAUUUAUUUAAAAGACGAGAAGACCCUAUAGAGUUUUAUAUUUAAAAUUAUAUUAAUUUUGUAUAAAAUUUUUAUUUGAUAUUUUUUUAAAUAUUUUAUUGGGGUGAUAGAAAAAUUUAAUAAACUUUUUUUAAAAAAUUUACAUUAAUAUAUGAAAUUUUGAUCCAUAAUUUAUGAUUAAAAGAUUAAAUUACCUUAGGGAUAACAGCGUAAUUUUUUUUUUUAGUUCUUAUAAGAAAAAAAGUUUGCGACCUCGAUGUUGGAUUAAG